rnacentral:tRNA from 1 species
GGGGCGGUAGCUCAGCUGGUCAGAGCAGCGGACUCAUAAUCCGUGGGUCGCGGGUUCGAGCCCCGCCCGCCCUA